UACGUAGGUGGCAAGCGUUCUCCGGAAUUACUGGGUGUAAAGGGAGCGCAGGCGGGAUAGCAAGUCAGCGGUGAAAUGCAUGGGCUCAACCCAUGAACUGCCGUUGAAACUGUUAUUCUUGAGUGGAGUAGAGGCAGGCGGAAUUCCGAGUGUAGCGGUGAAAUGCGUAGAUAUUCGGAGGAACACCAGUGGCGAAGGCGGCCUGCUGGGCUCUAACUGACGCUGAGGCUCGAAAGUGUGGGGAG
rnacentral:rRNA from 1 species